rnacentral:rRNA from 1 species
AACGAACGCUGGCGGCAGGCUUAACACAUGCAAGUCGAGCGCCCCACAAGGGGAGCGGCAGACGGGUGAGUAACGCGUGGGAAUCUACCCAUCUCUACGGAAUAACGCAUGGAAACGUGUGCUAAUACCGUAUACGUCCUUCGGGAGAAAGAUUUAUCGGAGAUGGAUGAGCCCGCGUUGGAUUAGCUAGUUGGUGGGGUAAAGGCCUACCAAGGCGACGAUCCAUAGCUGGUCUGAGAGGAUGAUCAGCCACACUGGGACUGAGACACGGCCCAGACUCCUACGGGAGGCAGCAGUGGGGAAUAUUGGUCAAUGGGCGCAAGCCUGAUCCAGCCAUGCCGCGUGAGUGAUGAAGGCCCUAGGGUUGUAAAGCUCUUUCACCGGUGAAGAUAAUGACGGUAACCGGAGAAGAAGCCCCGGCUAACUUCGUGCCAGCCGCCGCGGUAAAAC